rnacentral:rRNA from 1 species
AGCCCAGACUCCUACGGGAGGCAGCAGUGGCCCACACUGCACAAUCCUCGAAACCCUGCCGCAGCAACGCCGCGUGCGUGAAGAAGUCAUUCGUGAUGUAAAGCUCUAUCAGCAGGGAAGAAAAUGACGGUACCUGAGUAAGACGCCCCGGCUAACUACGUGCCAGCAGCCGCGGUAAUACGUAGGGGGCAAGCGUUAUCCGGAUUUACUGGGUGUAAAGGGAGCGUAGACGGCCAGACAAGUCUGAAGUGAAAAUCCAGCGCUUAACGUUGGAAGUGCUUUGGAAACUGCCGGGCUAGAGUGCAGGAGGGGCAGGCGGAAUUCCUAGUGUAGCGGUGAAAUGCGUAGAUAUUAGGAGGAACACCAGUGGCGAAGGCGGCCUGCUGGACUGCAACUGACGUUGAGGCUCGAAGGCGUGGGGAGCGAACAGGAUUAGAUACCCCAGUA